rnacentral:rRNA from 1 species
UGAACGCUGGCGGUAGGCCUACCACAUGCACGUCUAACGGCAGCACAGUAAGAGCUUGCUCUUACGGGUGGCGAGUGGCGGACGGGUGAGGCAUACAUCGGAAUCUACUUUUUCGUGGGGGAUAACGUAGGGAAACUUACGCUAAUACCGCAUACGACCUACUGGUGAAAGCAGGGGAUCUUCGGACCUUGCGCGAUUGAAUGAGCCGAUGUCGGAUUCGCUAGUUGGCGGGGUAAAGGCCCACCAAGGCGACGAUCCGUAGCUGGUCUGAGAGGAUGAUCAGCCACACUGGAGCUGAGACACGGUCCAGACUCCUACGGGAGGCAGCAGUGGGGAAUAUUGGACAAUGGGCGCAAGCCUGAUCCAGCCAUACCGCGUGGGUGAAGAAGGCCUUCGGGUUGUAAAGCCCUUUUGUUGGGAAAGAAAAGCAGCAGGUUAAUACCCCGCUGUUCUGACGGUACCCAAAGAAUAAGCACCGGCUAACUUCGUG